rnacentral:rRNA from 1 species
UACAGAGGUCUCAAGCGUUGUUCGGAUUCAUUGGGCGUAAAGGGUGCGUAGGCGGCGCGGUAAGUCGGGUGUGAAAUCCCCGGGCUCAACCCGGGGCGGUCGUUCGAAACUGCCGUGCUAGAGUGCAGGAGAGGGAAGUGGAAUUCCCGGUGUAGCGGUGAAAUGCGUAGAGAUGUGGAGGAACACCAGUGGCGAAGGCGACUCUUUGGCCUGUAACUGACGCUGAGGCGCGAAAGCGUGGGGAGCAAACAGG